rnacentral:rRNA from 1 species
UACGGAGGGUGCGAGCGUUGUCCGGAAUCACUGGGCGUAAAGGGCGCGUAGGUGGCGCGGGAAGUCAACGGUGAAAGUUCGGGGCUCAACCCUGAAUCGGCCGUCGAUACUCCCGGGCUCGAGCACUGUAGAGGCAGAUGGAAUUCCGGGUGUAGCGGUGGAAUGCGUAGAGAUCCGGAAGAACACCGGUGGCGAAGGCGGUCUGCUGGGCAGUUGCUGACACUGAGGUGCGACAGCGUGGGGAGCAAACAGG